AUUGAACGCUGGCGGCAUGCCUUACACAUGCAAGUCGAACGGUAACGGGCCUUCGGGUGCCGACGAGUGGCGAACGGGUGAGUAAUGCAUCGGAACGUACCUUUCAGUGGGGGAUAACGUAGCGAAAGUUACGCUAAUACCGCAUAUUCUGUGAGCAGGAAAGCAGGGGAUCGCAAGACCUUGCGCUGAUUGAGCGGCCGAUGUCAGAUUAGCUAGUUGGUGAGGUAAAGGCUCACCAAGGCGACGAUCUGUAGCGGGGUCUGAGAGGAUGAUCCGCCACACUGGAACUGAGACACGGUCCAGACUCCUACGGGAGGCAGCAGUGGGGAAUUUUGGACAAUGGGCGCAAGCCUGAUCCAGCCAUGCCGCGUGCGGGAAGAAGGCC
rnacentral:rRNA from 1 species